CUACAUUAACACAUUUAUAGGGUUUGGAUUAACCAAUAUGGUUGACACUUUGACUUUUUAAAUUUUACAUUUUGAGAUUAUGAUGUUGAUUAAUAUUAGACUUUAGUGGAAUUUUAAUCAAAUUAAUUGUGACCUCAAAUUGAUUGUCAUCUCUAAUAGUGUUCACUUUGAUUAGAUAAGUCUUGUUCUUGGUAAAUUCAACGAUAAUCUGAUGGAACAGAUGAAUGUUUAUUAUGGAAUAUUACUCGGUUGGAGAAGGCAAAACAAUCCACAAUUAACGAGAAGGAGAAUGUUGAAGAAUAGGAAAAAAAACAAUGGAAAUGUUAAACUCAAAGGAUAAUUCAUCAAUCAAAUGAGACAAAGGAGAUCAAAUGUUUAUCAUCUUAUAAUUAUGUCGUUUAUUACAAAUGAGAAUGGAUUAAUUGCUCAGUGAAAUGAGAAGAAAUUAUCAAGAAUAAGAAAGUUAACCUGCUAAUUAAGAAUUGUAAUUACCGGUGACAAUUUGUUUUUCUAUUUUCUCACCCUCUCAUCAAGUGGACACUUAACUGAAAGCAAAGAAGAUUUUGAUACAUUGUUCCAAUUUGUUCAAUCGAUAAGGAUGAUCAGAAAAUGUUAUCAAACAAUCACUAUACAAGUUGACUGCAUCAUCAUUUGAUUGAUAUUAUGAUCAGUAAUUGAAAAUGGAAUGAAAAAAGGUUAACAGAUUGAUAAAGAUGCCAGAUGAUUGAAUGGUUAACUUGAUUGGAGCAUAUUCUUGUAUUGGUGACAUCCAAAGAUUACCAAUAAUUAACUGGGCGGAGGGUAAUCAGAAAUGAAAGAGAUCAUCAUCAUCAUACCAUGUCAAAGGAGAAGGAGAAAAUUCAUGUAAUCGGUUUCACUCCAGAUAACCUCAAUUGAUUCAUCAUCAUCAACUUUCAUACAAGACUAACAUCUCAUCAAUAAUAAAUAAUAUAAAUGAUUAUGUAUAAGUUGACUUAGAUUUAUCCAGCAUUAGCCUAUUCCAAAUCAAUUUUCUGGAUGUAAAUUCAUUCCCAUCAUAAUAACAAUUCUGAAGUUAAAUUACAUUGGCACAGAAAUCAAAGAGGAUCAUAAAAGUAAAGCUAGAAAUCAAAUCAAAUCCAUUCUCAUCAUCAUCAUCAUCGUAAUUUUCCCCCCACUCAAAAACAGAAACAAUCAAAAGAAAUGACAAAGACAGAGAAAGAUCAACAAUCAAUGGCAAGUGAACUCGGUAAUAUAUAAAUUGUGAUAAAUGACAAUGAAUAUUACCAAAUUUUGGAUAAUCAAACCAUAACAUUUAAUCAACAUGAUGACGAUAAGAAAACUAUCAAGGGAAUCGAUGAGAAAAAAAGUCUCAAUUGUUUUCCAGUUGACAUUAAGUUUAAAUUGAAAUUUAAUUUAUCAAUUGCAAUUAUCGGAAUGAUGAUUUCGACGAUUAAAGUGAUAAAUCAUUUGUUAUCUUUUCUUACACCAAAUGGAAAAUGUUUAGAUCAUUAAAACGUGUAAAGAAUCAACAAUUUAACUUGGAACUUCUAGAAUUCGAUGAGCAAACUUUUUAUCAAGAGAUAGAAUUUUUUUUGUGUAUGUUAACAAUACAAACAACAAUUUAAUGUUGAUUAUUGUCAGAACAUUAUCUUAAAUAUUAAUAUGAUCAGAAUUCCGAAUUGAACUGAACUUUUCCAUUUGAUAAAAGAGAGAAAGAAAGAAAAUAUUUCCUCAAAUGUAAAGAGAAAUUCUCAUGCUCAUGAUUGUUCAUCUCAAUCGAUUGAAUAGUUAAUAAUUGUUCCUUUAUUGAUUAAAAUAUUUCAAGAAAACUAAUCAACAACAAUUAACAACAAAACUGUUGGUUGAUGAGCCGUUAAUAAUUAAGAUAACUAUUCAAGUUAACCACGAAACGGAGGUUCAAACGAAAACACAAAGUUCGUUUUUUUGGACAUAAAAUUUCAAUACAACGAAAAAGAUUCAACAUGAAGUUUUCUCUUGCUUAGGAUGAUCAUUUGACCUUUCAAGAUGAAAUUUUCGUCCGAUUUACAGGAAACACUGAAUUGAUCAACUACUCACCUUGGACAAACAUCUACU